rnacentral:rRNA from 1 species
GGCGACUCUCUGGUCUGUAAUUGACGCUGAGGCUCGAAAGCGUGGGGAGCAAACAGGAUUAGAUACCUGGUAGUCCACGCCGUAAACGAUGAGUGCUAAGUGUUGGAGGGUUCCGCCUUUCAGUGCUGCAGUUAACGCAUUAAGCACUCCGCUGGGGAGUACGGCCGCAAGGCUGAAACUCGAAGGAAUUGACGGGGGCCCGCACAAGCGGUGGAGCAUGUGGUUUAAUUCGAAGCAACGCGAAGAACCUUACCAGGUCUUGACAUCCUUUGACCACUCUAGAGAUAGAGCUUUCCCUUCGGGGACAAAGUGACAGGUGGUGCAUGGUUGUCGUCAGCUCGUGUCGUGAGAUGUUGGGUUAAGUCCCGCAACGAGCGCAACCCUUAUUGUUAGUUGCCAUCAUUCAGUUGGGCACUCUAGCGAGACUGCCGGUGACAAACCGGAGGAAGGUGGGGAUGACGUCAAAUCAUCAUGCCCCUUAUGACCUGGGCUACACACGUGCUACAAUGGACGGUACAAUGAGUCGCGAGACCGCGAGGUUUAGCUAAUCUCUUAAAGCCGUUCUCAGUUCGGAUUGUAGGCUGCAACUCGCCUACAUGAAGCCGGAAUCGCUAGUAAUCGUGGAUCAGCACGCCACGGUGAAUACGUUCCCGGGCCUUGUACACACCGCCCGUCACACCACGAGAGUUUGUAACACCCAAAGUCGGUGAGGUAACCUUUUGGAGCCAGCCGCCUAAGGUGGGAUAGAUGAUUGGGGUGAAGUCGUAACAAGGUAACCA